GCUUGGUGGUCAUUUCACAGUUUACUUCACCGAAGAUCUUACCUGGAAGAUCAACCCAAUCCAGGUGGCCAGAAAGGCCCGACAGAGACUCCAUUUCCUCUGGGUCUUGCAAAAGAAUAAAGUGGA